AACCUUUAUUUUUAUAUAUAUUUUUUAAAACAUAAAAAAACCUUUAGAAAACCCAAUGCCUUUCCCUUCUAACCCUUUCUGCUAGGGUUUCAUCCUAAAACAUGCAGCCAUCGAACCACCAUCAUACGGUGGCCGACGGUGCACAGGCAAGGGCCGAUUUCGCCAAUGGAAGAGAACUCUGACUGUGCCCACGGAGGUUUGUUGCAGGUAUGCUGAACGUGGUUCGAAGCGCACGGAUGUGGAGCGAGCAAUGCACGAGUCGGGGGUCGUGCGUGGUGGCUGCUGGUGGCUACGGCGCGAGG